rnacentral:rRNA from 1 species
UACGUAGGGUGCGAGCGUUGUCCGGAAUUAUUGGGAGUAAAGGGCUCGUAGGCGGUUUGUCGCGUCGGGAGUGAAAACCCAGGGCUUAACUCUGGGCUUGCUUUCGAUACGGGCAGACUAGAGGUAUGCAGGGGAGAACGGAAUUCCUGGUGUAGCGGUGAAAUGCGCAGAUAUCAGGAGGAACACCGGUGGCGAAGGCGGUUCUCUGGGCAUUACCUGACGCUGAGGAGCGAAAGUGUGGGGAGCGAACAGG